AUACGGAGGAUGCAAGCGUUAUCCGGAUUUAUUGGGUUUAAAGGGUGCGUAGGCGGCUUGUUAAGCGUGAGGUGAAAUGCCGGAGCUCAACCCCGGAACUGCCUCGCGAACUGGCGAGCUUGAAUUCUCCUGCCGUGGGAGGAAUGUGUGGUGUAGCGGUGAAAUGCAUAGAGAUCACACAGAACACCGAUUGCGAAGGCAUCUCACGAAGGGGCGAUUGACGCUGAGGCACGAAAGCGUGGGGAUCAAACAGGAUUAGAUACCCUGGUAUUCCACGCCGUAAACGAUGAUGACUAACCGUCGGCGAUAGACAGCCGGUGGCCAAGCGAAAGCGAUAAGUCAUCCACCUGGGGAGUACGUCGGCAACGAUGAAACUCAAAUGAAUUGACGGGG
rnacentral:rRNA from 1 species